rnacentral:rRNA from 1 species
UACGUAGGGUGCAAGCGUUAUCCGGAAUUAUGGCGUAAGGAGCACGUAGCGGUUGCGUGUCUGCUGUGAACUGGAAGCUCAACCUCCAGCCUGCAGUGGGUACGGGCAAACUAGAGUGCGGUAGGGGAGAUUGGAAUUCCUGGUGUAGCGGUGGAAUGCGCAGAUAUCAGGAGGAACACCGAUGGCGAAGGCAGAUCUCUGGGCCGUAACUGACGCUGAGGAGCGAAAGCAUGGGGAGCGAACAGG